GGCAGAGUGGUGUAGUGGUUUGAGUGUUGGACUAUGACUCUGGUGACCAGGGUUUGAAUCCCUGCUUGGCCA